UGGUGACCUGAGGCUCCCUGGCUGUCACUCUGUCCCAGUCCCUCCUGGCACACGGGGCACAGGUUGAGUCUUAGUAAAGUCUGUGGGGUCCUGACCC
rnacentral:pre_miRNA from 1 species